GCCGCUACUCCAACAACAAACACGAGAAACCUAGUGUGCUAAUGUGCUUGAGACAGGUUUUAAAGGUUUGGAUUGAUGCAAGUUGGACCUUACAAGUUUGGUUUGAGUUUAGAACAUGUUUGUUGCAGGUUCAUAGGUUGCAUCAGUUCUGCAACCAGUUCCUUGCUGCAGGUCUUGGUUUAGUAAGUUGACUUGGUGUUGAUUUGUGGUGAUGUCGUUAAUUUGUACUUCUAUCAUGUUAAUCCUAUGUUAAGUUGUUGUACCAAGCAUUGGUUAGUGAAUGUUGGUUAAUUAGAUGAUGCAAAUGUUAAUUGGGAUUGUUAGAUUUAUUGAAUAGGACUGUUAGA